AUUUAUGCGAAAAUCACGUGUUUUCUCUUCGCAAAUCCCCCAUUAUAUCAAAAAUCACGCGUUUUCUCUUCGCAAAUCCCCCAUUUAAGCAAAAAUCAUGCGUUUUCUCUUCGGAAAUCCCCCAUUUAAGCGAAAAUCACGCGUUUUCUCUCCGAGAAUCCAACAUUUAAGCGAAAAUCACGCGUUUUCUCAAAUCCCCCAUUUAAGCGAAAGUCACGCGUUUUCUCUUUGCAAAUCCCCCAUUUAACCAGAAAACCAAGCAUUUUCUCUUCAAGAAUCCCCCAUUUAACCCGAAAAUCACACGUUUUCUCAAAUCCCCCAUUUAAGCGAAAAUCACGCGUUUUCUCUUCGCAAAUCCCCCAAUUAACACAAAAAAACACGAGUUUUCUCUUCAGAAAUCCCACAUUUAAGCGAAAAUCACACGUUUUCUCUUCGCAAAUCCCCCAUUUAACUUGAAAAUCACGCGUUUUCUCUUCGGAAAUCCCCCAUUUAAGCGAAAAUCACGCGUUUCCUCUUCGAGAAACCAACAUUUAACGAAAAUCAAGCGUUUUCUCAAAUCCCCCAUUUAAGCGAAAAUCACACGUUUUCUCUUCGGAAAUCCCCCAUUUAACUUGAAAAUCACGUGUUUUCUCUACACAAAUCCCCCAUUUAUGCGAAAAACACGCGUUUUCUUUUCGC
ensembl:lncRNA